rnacentral:rRNA from 1 species
UACGUAGGGUGCAAGCGUUGCCCGGAUUUAUUGGGCGUAAAGGGCUCGUAGGCGGCCAACUAAGUCGGACGUGAAAUCCCCAGGCUCAACCUGGGAACUGCGUCCGAUACUGGAUGGCUUGAAUUCGGGAGAGGGAUGCAGAAUUCCAGGUGUAGCGGUGAAAUGCGUAGAUAUCUGGAGGAAUACCGGUGGCGAAGGCGGCAUCCUGGACCGACAUUGACGCUGAGGAGCGAAAGCUAGGGGAGCAAACGGG